CAAAUUGGACAAAGGAUGACUUUUACCAAAUUAAGAUCAUUCAUUCAUUUUGGGAGAUGGAAUGUACAUUCCAUCAAUCCCCUAAAUCCAAUGAUCUUAACCUAGCAAAGUCAAAUCAACCUUGACCUUUUUGGGAGAUGGAAUGUACAUUCCAUCAAUCCCCUAAAUCCAAUGAUCUUAACCUAGCAAAGUCAAAUCAACCUUGACCAAGGCCCAACAACACAAGUC
rnacentral:lncRNA from 1 species